CCCCGGCACCGCCCGCGCCGCGGGGCGAGGUGAGGUGAGCGCCCGCUCCUGCCAUGGCGGCGCUGCGGGACGUCUUUCGGCGGCCUUUCGGCGGCCCGCUCGCGGUGGGUUUCAGUUCCCCGGGCAGCGAGCCGACGGCAGCGGUGGUGUCUGUCAGCGCCUGUCCUGCGCCCCCGGCCUGCCGAAGAUCCCUUUGGAAGCGAAAAAACUGCUUUGAAGCAUCUAGGGGAAGCAGGCGGGAAUUUACUAUAAAUUCCUCACAGGUACAGCAGCUCUACAGAAGCAGCUUAAUUUCCUCCCGGCCGGCUGCAGGCAGUCAGCACAGCCACUCACCUCCGCGAGGCGCUGCCCCCCGAGCUCUGCUGCUGGCCGCGCUCGGUGCGGGACACGCGGUGCAGAAAGUGCCAUUUAGGAGUCUGCGCCAUACGGAUCGCGGGGCCAUUAUAAAGCCGGGCUGUGUCUGUGCUGUGUGUUCUCUGAGCUUGUUGGAGUGUCUGUGUUCACCUUUCUGUUUCGAGCGGUAGUGCGAAAAUCAUCGUUAACUUCAACACGUAUAAUUUGUGUUUCCUUUUCAGACCCUUUGUGGCGUAUCAUAAUGCUGGCCAAUCUCGUAUUUUUUCUUUGCCUGGCUAUUAAUGCUGCUUCUUAGCUUCUUCUCAUUCUCUAGUCAUACACGAUCCUGCCCCUCUGUGCUGUGGGGCCUCACCUGGAGUACUGCUUACAGAUGUGGAGUCCUCAGUACAGGAGAGACACGGACCUGUUGGAGGGUGUCCAGAGGAGGGCCACAAAAAUAAUCCCAGGGAUGGAACACCUCUCCUGUGAGGACAGGCUGGGAGAGCUGGGGCUGUUCAGCCUGGAGAAGGCACUGGGGAAACCUGAGAGUGGCCUUUCAGUAUCUAAAGGGGGGCUGUAAGAAGGAAGGGGACAGACUUUUUAGUAGGGUCUGUUGUGAAUUGGAAUUUCACACUUGGAAUUUCAUCACCCUAAUAGAAAUCAGGAGAGGGAAAUUGGUUUUGUGUGCCUCUGCAGAUGGUCAGCAGUGGACAGGACCCAGUGACAGACAUGGAAGAGUUUGGUGCUUCUGACAACUGCGGAGCGUCGCUGAGGAUCCCAGAGCUGUGACUGCAGUUUUCCAAUUCCCAGGCUGUCUUGGCAGUAGAGGAAAUGUGAAGAAGAGCUAUGUGUCAUUUGAAUAGUGCUGUCAUCUUACCAAUUACUACUAUAGCUGCUGUACACAGGUGUUGCAAGGUCAUACCUUCACCCAUCCGAGGCAAAGACAUGAUGUUAUCUGCCUGAAAAUAUCUGUCUGGGCAAUCCUUCAACAAGACUUCUCCCACACAUCAAUCCAACUUUCUUUUUUCUCCUGUAACUUCUUGCUUCUUUCAUGUUGCACAAGAGGUUCCCUAAAACAUUAAUUUUUCCUCCUCCAAAUUCCUACACUUGAAUUGAAUAGAAUUUGGAGUGGUAUGAAGUGCCUCACACAGAGAAGAACCAGCAUUUUGAAGGGCCUGCAGGUGCUGCUACCUGAAGGUUAGUUUAACAACUGAAAAUACUCUAUCGUGAAUGGCCUCAAUAUAUCAUUCAGAUUUGUCCAAACUUGUUAGCACUGGCAAAAGUAAUCUCCAUUUCCUCCUGGCUACUUGACAAAAGGAGGACAACAAACUUCUCUCUGCUGACUAGGAAUACAGUAAACAUUCAUGAUUUCAAGUAUGGUGAUAAGAGCGUAUUGCACCACAGUGCCAUCUCAUAGCAGUUUGUUCAGCUGAGCAUUCACUGGGCCAGCACAUCACCACUGUCAGCAUGCAAAUAAGCUCUCCCAUGCAGCUGAGAAUGAAGGCCAGAAGCCUGAAAAUAACCCAGCAAAGCAUGCCUGUUGUAAGGAAUGAGAGGUACUUGCCAACUUUUAAUCACUGGGCUUAGUGACUGGCAUGACAACAUUUUUCUGAUGGGGAAAUUAUUUACAGGCAGUUGGAAGGUCAGGAGGCUGUCUGAAACACUCAAUGGCAAAAUUAGAGUUAGCCUUUCAGUCAACCAUGUUGCUCAGGUACCUGCUUGGUGUUCCAGUGUUAACGUGCAGUACAUUCGAAGUGCAGCCACCUUCACUGUAUGUUUCGGUGUACAAAAUUACCUUCUAAUUAAGAAAUAAGCACAGUGGUAGGGAGGAUUCCACUUUGAGUCUCAGCUUGGCUGUGAGACUCAGUGCAAGCCGUGUAGUGGGCUGUUAGAGUGGUUUGCUUGAUUCUGUUUCUUGUGUCAAACGUUUGUCAGUGUUGAUGAUGAAUAGUAGGGAAAAAUACUGAAUAAGCCCUAAGUGAUUAAUUAGAAUAUUAGUUUAGUAUUUCUGCUGCCAGACAGUCAUGCAGUCCCUGGCAUUACUGCUUAAGGUCUAAAAUGUUGAGAGAGGAAGAGGAAUUUCAAAUAUGUUUAUUCUUAUCCAGAUAAUCUCUGAAUUUAAACUCUAAUAAAGCUUUUCACCGGAAUGAGAUGUUAACUAGCCAAUACUUUAUUCACACUUCAGUUAAACAACGUUUACCUCGGUGAAAGGCACCCAAACUGUGCUACUCUGUGCUACCCUGUUUCUGUGGAAACUGUGUGUUGGAGUGGAAUAGGAAUAAUGGUGGAGAAAAGGAGAGCAGUAGCGUUUUGGCUGAAGUCCUGUUGGCCAGCCCCCGUUUCAGCUGGGAUAAGUCAGCCAAGCAAGGCCUCAGUGCUGGAGCCCCGACAGUUCUUUUUCCUCCUCCUCCUAACUUGUGCCGAGGGAGGAGUCUGCUUCACAGACACCAUUCAAAAAGUGCUUGCUAAAGCAAUUUAUCUGUAUUUUCCCCUGGUUUUUCAUGCAACAAGAAUUUUAGCCAGUCAGUAAUGUUAGUCAAUAGCUGCCUACACUGGUAGGGUAAGGUUUGUUCUGAAAAGAACUUCCAUUGACGCGUAUGUUACUCAGUCACUGCUCUUCUAAAAAGCACCACUGUAUUCUUGGAAAGAAACUCUCCCAAAACUGAAAAGACACAUUUUUCAUCAUUCAGGGGUUUCCAAAAUAUGCAUAUGUUUGAUGGAUUGCCAGGAAAGACAGACAGCCUUGACCAGUAAACUCAGCUCUGUAUUCUCUCUUCUCUGGUAGCUGUUUCACUGACAUUCAUGUUGUUUUCUCCUGGAAUAAGGUAUCUUUCUUAAAAAUAAAAUAUGAAUUAACAGAAAAAUAUAUUUUAUUGUUUUUUCUGUUGUUAUGAUUUCUGUUAAUCAGUGAUUGCCUGCUACCUGUGUGUGUGAGUCAGAGUGAAAAAUCUAACGUGGUGAAGUUGUGAUUGAUGUCUUAAUACUGUAGAAGUAUCUGGUAGGGGUGGGGGUCUAUUUCUUCCACAUACACACAAAAAAUGACUGGCUUCUGAUUGUAGUCUGAGGCUCUGGACUGGAGGACCAGGGCAUUUUGCUGCCUAGCCUCAGUAUACACACAUUGCUACAGAGGAUUGAAAGGCGUUGUGCAGCACUCAUGGUAACCAACAUUCUGUAAAGAAUUCUAAAUCACUGCAGGAGAGGAGACAACAGAAAAAGCAGUUUUCAAGAAUGGAGAGUAUGGGAGAAAAUCAAUUAAGGAAACAGCAUUAUCUUUUCAAAUUCAGGUGUAAGUGUGUGCAGACCCAAGAAUUUCAACAGUUUCUUACAGGUGGAAGCUAAAGGGAAGAGCCUAGAUCAUGGUGAUGUUGGCUGUACAUGUUCGUGCUUCUGUGUGGAAUCAGGGACACCUGCUUCUUGGUCUGCUGCUGCUUCAGCUUCUUGGUGAGACGUUAAAAUCUCUUCAAGUCUCUCUCUAGUCCCCUUUGUGUGCCAGAGUUGGCAGUAGAACAUGAGGAACUUUAACUGCAUCGGUUCAAGGAACCCUGUGGCCCUUUCCCAUUGUGUGCCUGUAGUGCAUUGUGCUAUACAUGAAAGAAGCAGGAAGGGAAUAGAGAGAAAAGCAGGCAGUUGGUAUCAGGCACUGGUGCUGCCUUCAGUCUUUUCUUUAGUAACGUUUCCAUAAACUACAGCUGAGUUGCAGUUCAACCGAACUUUUAAGUUCUGUUUGAUUUGUAACCCAUUCUACAUUU
ensembl:lncRNA